CCCUGGUAGUCCAUGCCGUAAACGUUGGGCACUAGGUGUGGGGGACAUUCCACGUUUUCCGCGCCGUAGCUAACGCAUUAAGUGCCCCGCCUGGGGAGUACGGCCGCAAGGCUAAAACUCAAAGGAAUUGACGGGGGCCCGCACAAGCGGCGGAGCAUGCGGAUUAAUUCGAUGCAACGCGAAGAACCUUACCAAGGCUUGACAUGAACCGGAAAGACCUGGAAACAGGUCCCCCACUUGUGGUCGGUUUACAGGUGGUGCAUGGUUGUCGUCAGCUCGUGUCGUGAGAUGUUGGGUUAAGUCCCGCAACGAGCGCAACCCUCGUUCUAUGUUGCCAGCACGUGAUGGUGGG
rnacentral:rRNA from 1 species